AUGAGCCCUAUAGUCGACUUAACUCCUUCACUUUCAGGACUCUUAUGGAAAUGGAGGCAAGCGCCUACGUCAGGGGAGCGACGAUGUAUUCGAAAGAAUUACACCCUCCGGGAUAGAACUCUGACCCAAAUCCAUCAAGAAGAAAUAGUGUUUCUCUGGAGCGUCUCACCUCUUACUCUGUUCUGGUGCAGAUCGCUGAGCCCUCAACCCUCCUCCUUUGGCGAUAGCCCACAACGCCACAACCCUUCUGCCCUGUUUACACUCCACCUGGCGGCUCGCAACUUCGUGUUCACCAGCGCCGGGCAACUUUUAGAUGAACCUCGACUCUGAUGGAAUUCUUCAACGGCGCGUAAGCCGAUUAAUCCGGUAGCGAUUGGAAUAGUUGCCGACAGCAGAUCGUGCUCUAACUUCGCCCCAAAAAGUAAGAAGUCAUUAGUGGCAGGACUGAUUGCAUGAACUGCAUUUCCCAAUGAGAAACUAUCAAAUGUAACCCAUUUAUAAAAGCACGUACGUAGUAAUUCCUAUCUUCUUUGAUUACAUCGGAUAGCCGGGUCCCCGUGUACCGCAAACGAUCGAUUAGGUAUCGAAAAACUGACCCGGCGUCACACAGGAGUCUCGGAUUUCGGGACCUGGAAAAUGAUUAAAAGUGGCGCCAGCUCUCCCCCUUACAUUUACAUUACGACUCUAUGUACUCUGUGGAUUACCCCCGGUUUAUCCCCAUAGGCGUUCCCGCUAAGACUGAAACAUGGACGUAUUUCUACCAAACAGACCUAUGUGGAGGUGAGAAAUAUAUGAGGUGUGCUCUAGAAAGCUGCAUAAGAAGCAAUGUAAAAGUGGGUGUGAUUCCUUUUGAAGAAUUGGAAAAGCGGGAUUUUACAUUCUAUCAAACAGACCUAUGUGCCAACUGAAUGCGGGAUUCAUGAGCCGCGGGCGUAGCACGAGAGCGUUGUGGACAGGGCUCAUGAGUUAAAGCGUCCCGCCAACGAUCUCCCCGUCGUGGCGGCUCUCGUUCGUUGCCGCUGACGUCACUGCGGCGCUUUAUUAUUCUCAUUCACUCUUACGGACAGAGAACUAACGAGCACACCCCAUAUUUCUCACCUCCACAUAGGUCUGUUCGGUAGAAAUAUGUCCACACAUCCAACAUAACUGAGCGUUUUGUCAAUUUUGGA
rnacentral:lncRNA from 1 species